rnacentral:rRNA from 1 species
UACGGGGGAGCAAGCGUUGUUCGGAUUUACUGGGCGUAAAGGGCGCGUAGGCGGCCACCGCAAGUCGGUUGUGAAAUCUCUGGGCUUAACCCAGAAAGGUCAACCGAUACUGCGGGGCUAGAGUGCAGAAGGGGCAACUGGAAUUCUCGGUGUAGCGGUGAAAUGCGUAGAUAUCGAGAGGACACCUGCGGCGAAGCGGUGCUGGCUGACACUGACGCUGAAGCGCGAAAGCUAGGGGAGCGAACGGG